rnacentral:tRNA from 1 species
GGGAGCGGAAGGGAGCUGGUGUUCCUCUCGGACUUCAAAUCCGACGUCGGGUGCUAGAACCACCCUGGGUGGGUUCGAUUCCCACACGUUCCCGCCA